rnacentral:lncRNA from 1 species
GGUCCCAGCCAAUUUAGCCAGCCUAAUUUUAUUUUGAAUUGAUUUAUUUUAGUUGGGUUUAUUUUAUGUUGAUUGGGUUUAUUUGCAUAUUGUCAUUUGGGUUUAUUUGCAUAUUGUCAUUUUAGGGCCUAUUAGGGAUUGUUUUAAUUGUAGGGGUUUAUUUGUUAUUUUGUGACCCUAUAUAUAUGGGUCCAUGCUCAUGUUUAGGAUUUGAUGGAUGAAUGAUGAAUGAAAAUUAGCCUCCUUGUCUUCUUCUUCCUCCUCCUCCCUUCUCCUCCCUUCUCUUCUUCUUCCUCCUCCUUCCUCCUCUUCUUCCGCUUCUCUUCUUCCUCUCCUCUCCUCUCUUUCUCCCUCUUUUCUCCUACUGUCCUGCAUCAGAACCACUUGGAAACUAAUUUUGGAUGGAUCUCAAUGCUUUCUCAAAUUGGUUUGAUUUGAUAAGUAGCUGCAAAUUUAAUUUGUGUGUAUCGAUAAAGAAACUUCUGUUUUGCUAGUAUCUACCGUCUCUCUACAAGAAAAAAAAUAAAAAGGAUGUAAUGUAUGAUACCAUUUUGUCAAGA